UCGUUUCAGUCGCUGUGGUGUCAAC
rnacentral:sRNA from 1 species